rnacentral:piRNA from 1 species
AGUUACCUAGCUUUGGAGCAUUUGC